rnacentral:rRNA from 1 species
AGAGUUUGAUCCUGGCUCAGAAUGAACGCUGGCGGCGUGCUUAACACAUGCAAGUCGAACGAGAACGCUCCGAGCUUGCUUGGAGCAAGUAAAGUGGCGCACGGGUGAGUAACGCGUGGGCAAUCUGCCUUUGAAUUUGGGAUAACACUUCGAAAGGGGUGCUAAUACCGGAUAACAUUCAUAUGGCUUAGGUGGUAUGGAUCAAAGAUGGCCUCUACAUGUAAGCUGUCGUUUGGAGAUGAGCCCGCGUCCCAUCAGCUUGUUGGUGGGGUAAUGGCCUACCAAGGCAACGAUGGGUAGCUGGUCUGAGAGGAUGAUCAGCCACACUGGAACUGACACACGGUCCAGACUCCUACGGGAGGCAGCAGUGAGGAAUUUUGCGCAAUGGGGGGAACCCUGACGCAGCAAUGCCGCGUGAGUGAUGAAGGCCUUCGGGUCGUAAAGCUCUGUCAAGUGGGAAGAACCUACUGAAUGUUAACAGCAUUUAGUACUGACGGUACCACUGAAGGAAGCACCGGCUAACUCCGUGCCAGCAGCCGCGGUAAUACGGAGGGUGCAAGCGUUAUUCGGAUUUACUGGGCGUAAAGGGCGUGUAGGCGGUUUGAUAAGUCAGAGUGUGAAAG